CCUACGUGUGGCAGCAGUGGGGAAUAUUGCGCAAUGGGCGAAAGCCUGACGCAGCGACGCCGCGUGAGGGAUGAAGGUCUUCGGAUCGUAAACCUCUGUCAGCAGGGAAGAACGGUCACUGUGCUAAUCAGCAGUGAAUUGACGGUACCUGCAAAGGAAGCACCGGCUAACUCCGUGCCAGCAGCCGCGGUAAUACGGAGGGUGCAAGCGUUGUCCGGAAUCAUUGGGCGUAAAGAGUUCGUAGGUGGCAUAUUAAGUCUGGUGUUAAAUGCAGAAGCUCAACUUCUGUUCGGCACUGGAUACUGGUAAGCUUGAAUGCGGUAGAGGUAAAGGGAAUUCCUGGUGUAGCGGUGAAAUGCGUAGAUAUCAGGAGGAACAUCGGUGGCGUAAGCGCUUUACUGGGCCGUAAUUGACACUGAGGAACGAAAGCCGGGGUAGCAAAUGGGAUUAGAUACCCGGGUAGUC
rnacentral:rRNA from 1 species